GGAGAAGGGCCAUAGUUCAGUGGAAGAGCAUCUGCUUUGCAAGCAGAAGUUCCCAGGUUCAAUCCCUGGCAUCUCCU
rnacentral:tRNA from 1 species